GAUGAACGCUGGCGGCGUGCCUAAUACAUGCAAGUCGAGCGAAUGGAUUAAGAGCUUGCUCUUAUGAAGUUAGCGGCGGACGGGUGAGUAACACGUGGGUAACCUGCCCAUAAGACUGGGAUAACUCCGGGAAACCGGGGCUAAUACCGGAUAACAUUUUGAACCGCAUGGUUCGAAAUUGAAAGGCGGCUUCGGCUGUCACUUAUGGAUGGACCCGCGUCGCAUUAGCUAGUUGGUGAGGUAACGGCUCACCAAGGCAACGAUGCGUAGCCGACCUGAGAGGGUGAGCUGCCAAGCUGGGACGGGGACACGGCCCCGACUCCUACGGGAGGCAGCAGUAGUGAAUCUUCCGCAAUGGACAAAAGUCGGACGGAGCAACGCUGCGUGAGUGAUGCAGUCUUUCGGGUCGUAAAACUCUGUUGUUAGGGAAGAACAAGUGCUAGUUGAAUAAGCUCGCACCUUGACGGUACCUAACCAGAAAGCCACGGCUAACUACGUGCCAGCAGCCGCCGUAA
rnacentral:rRNA from 1 species